GAGCUGGCAAGCACAACCCUCCCAGGAUACCCUCCUCAUGUCCCUCCUGCUGGACAGGGCAGCUACUCCACUCCAGCGCUGACAGGAAUGGUGCCUGGGAGUGAGUUUUCUGGGACCCCGUACAGCCACCCGCAGUAUUCAACAUACAACGACUCCUGGAGGUUUCCCAACCCUGGACUCCUGGGCUCCCCCUACUACUACAGCACUGCGGCCCGUGGGGCAGCCCCACCAGCCACUGCCACUGCUUAUGACCGCCACUGAUGCCAGAGCCCCGGCACUGGCGCUGACGGUACCGCCUGGGACAACCGCGGCCAGUCACCCUGCUACAACCACGCCAGCUGCACCACAAGGGAAGGAGAAAGUACCUACUAGGAACAUUAUCAUUGAAAUUUUGCUCUUUAAACUUGGUGAACUCAUUGUUGUAUUCUUAAAUCUGGUUGAGUCUCGAAUCAAACAGAGAAAUGGGAGGAAGGGGUUCUCCUGAAACUCUGUGUGCUCAAAAGUGCACAGUAGCUUCAUGUUCUUUGCAGCCGGCUGGUUACUGCUUUAAUCGCCUGCGGGUGCCAUGGCUGUAUCUGGGGAUAAGGAAGAGGUGUGAGCAGCUCCCCUUGGGGCCGCUUCCUCUUGCUGCACACUGAAACAUGCUAUGAGA